CAGUAGCCGCGGUAAUACGUAGGGGGCAAGCGUUAUCCGGAAUAACUGGGCGUAAAGGGUGCGCAGGUGGUUUAACAAGUUAGUGGUGAAAGGCAUAGGCUCAACCAAUGUAAGCCAUUAAAACUGUUUAACUUGAGUGCAGGAGAGGAAAGUGGAAUUCCUAGUGUAGCGGUGAAAUGCGUAGAUAUUAGGAGGAAUACCAGUGGCGAAGGCGACUUUCUGGACUGCAACUGACACUGAGGCACGAAAGCGUGGUGAGCAAACGGGAUUAGAUACCCCCGUAGUCCCUGUCUCUUAUACA
rnacentral:rRNA from 1 species